rnacentral:rRNA from 1 species
UCCAGACUCCUACGGGAGGCAGCAGUGGGGGAUAUUGCACAAUGGGGGGAACCCUGAUGCAGCGACGCCGCGUGGGUGAAGGAGCGUUUCGGCGCGUAAAGCCCUAUCGGCAGGGAAGAAGGAGGACGGUACCUGACUAAGAAGCCCCGGCUAACUACGUGCCAGCAGCCGCGGUAAUACGUAGGGGGCAAGCGUUAUCCGGAUUUACUGGGUGUAAAGGGGGCGCAGACGGCAGCGCAAGCCAGGAGUGAAAGCCCGGGGCCCAACCCCGGGACUGCUCUUGGAACUGCGCGGCUGGAGUGCAGGAGGGGCAGGCGGAAUUCCUGGUGUAGCGGUGAAAUGCGUAGAUAUCAGGAGGAACACCGGUGGCGAAGGCGGCCUGCUGGACUGCGACUGACGUUGAGGCCCGAAAGCGUGGGGAGCAAACAGGAUUAGAUACCCGCGUAGG